rnacentral:rRNA from 1 species
UACGUAGGGCGCAAGCGUUGUCCGGAAUUAUUGGGCGUAAAGAGCUCGUAGGCGGUUUGUCGCGUCUGCUGUGAAAUCCUCAGGCUCAACUUGGGGCGUGCAGUGGGUACGGGCAGACUAGAGUGUGGUAGGGGAGACUGGAAUUCCUGGUGUAGCGGUGGAAUGCGCAGAUAUCAGGAGGAACACCAAUGGCGAAGGCAGAUCUCUGGGCCGUAACUGACGCUGAGGAGCGAAAGCGUGGGGAGCGAACAGG